CAUCACGACCGGAACGCUUCCAACGCGCGAGACUCCGCAACACAGUACAAAAACAUUGAGAGGCUCCUAUCCGAGUCGCAUAUCGACGAAAGUGCGCCGCGCAAGCUGCCGCCGCGGUCUCUCGGCCAAGUGGAGCGGAUCACGGCGGCGGGUGUAUACGGACGACGCAAGUAUUUAGUCUGCGCGCGCGCGCGCGCGGAGGAGGCGAAUCGUUCACCGCGAGCUUGCGUAGAUGCAAAUGGUGGUCCGGCGAGCGAACGAUUAGCGAACCGUCACGCCUUGCUGCGAGAACGGGGCAGUCACACGUGCGUCGAACCCUCCCGGGACAACCGCUCAGCGUGAUCGCCAGUGAUCGUCCCCAGUCCACGACGAAAACCAUUCUGCCAACUCCUCGAAGAGGAAAAUCGCGGAGAGCUGGUCGGAGGAACUACACCUAACCCGCGUAGGACGAACUCUCUCCGGCGUGAUUGACGGUGAACGGGCGCGCACCGUGCAAGUUUGCUCUUGGAGUGUUCGUUGACGAAGCCAGAGACAACUCAGACGCCCUGCAGGCCAUCCGCAGUUUAAAGCAUAGCCGGAGCUGGCGAAGAACUGCCGGAACCUAACGGAUCCCCGAAUUCACCCGGUGCAAGGGAACGCUUUCGUUGACCGGACGCACGCACCAUGAUGACUCGGAAGACAGUCGCUGCGGCGCUACUCUCCACCGCUCUGUUUCUGGCGCUAGCCAGCACUCGCGCGGGUUGCCGCGCCAUGCCAGCCCAGCAGUCAGCUGCAUCGACGGUGGACACGGGCAACUCGGUGGCCGCCGCAAGCAACUGCACCAAGGACUCGCGUGCCAAGGCCAUCUGCGACGAGUGCAUCUAUGUGACCGGCGCCAGGGAGUCGUACGAGCCGUGCUGCGCCAACCUCAACCGGCUGCAGGAGUAUUGCGAGCACUUUUUGCGCUACUCGCCAGACUCCAGUGUGAACGAGACCGCCACCAGAGAGCGCCGCCAGCACUGAACACACCAGGUCACCUCGAUAGCAAGGGACUAAAUGCUGCGCGGAAUGGCCAUCGCCGCAGAUGCGUUCCACCCGGGUGCAGCAAUUGAAGUGGUUGCCAACUUUCGAUAUAACUCCAAGAAAACGUUUCUAGCUGUGCACUGAGAAAACCCUCGUGCGUUCUCACUAUUCCGCACGUUUUCUGCAUUGUUUAGGUGUAAAAAGCAGAAUGUGUACGGAAUGUGUAUCAUUUCUGUACAAUACGUAAAGCAUGGGAAAGAAUCCCGAAAACUAAUACGGAACCUUUUCUGUAGUGUACAGUCAAAUUCCUUGUGGCUGCCAGUUGUGUCUGCCUGGCUGCUCUUGGCUGCAGACCGCACUUUUUUUAGCUCUCGUCUCCGUAAGAAUAUUCGUAGAGUAAGAUAUCCGUACUGCUUUAGCGACUACAGUCACUCCGAGACAAGCAGGGUGGAACGUACCGAUAUGGGAGUACAAGAACUGUGGAAAAUGGAGUCAAAUGUGGGAAGCGCAGUAACUCCCGUGAAAAGGUGUUCAUAGAACUCCUUUUGCAAUUAAGGUGGUAACAUGCAAAAUCAUGUGGCCUGCGCUCUGUCGAUGAACACACUGAUAAAAAAUUACAAGGAAUACAAGAAAUGUGGGAAAUGAAGUCAAAUAUAUAUUUAAGAAGCGCAAUUACUCCCAUAAAAAAAGAGGUGUUCCUAGAACUUCUCAUAAUUAUUGUAGAAACAAGGAAAAGCGUGCGACCUGGGCUCUGUCAUUGACAUCGAUGAGAAUGCAGUUGCAACGGACAAUUUGCAAAGUUAAGCUUGUGGAACGCAAUUUUCAGCACUGCACCGCCCAACUUGUCUUACAGAGAUCACGCAGGAUCUAUACAAGAAUGAGUGGGGUGCCAAAGCUCCCCAGUUAGCUAACGGUGCGGUAAAGCUACUAGAUCUGUAAUGUAGACCACUGGUAAUGUACAACUGCUAGAUAUCCGGCACAACGGAGAUAGGUGAAGCCCACGAAAUUCGCAGCAUUUGUUCAUGGGGACUUGCACUGGUGUCGCCCUACAGUUAAGUUCACAAAGAUCUUCAGUGCUAACUCUGCAGUGAAAAUACUCCGUGCGAGACACGUAGCGUGUAUAUAGGAAUGUAAAUAGUAUAGUGUUUAUACGCGGGACCUGUUUCAUUUUGUGUUGUAUUUAACUACUGUCAUAACGCACCUUACGAGAAAAGAACUUCUACGCAUCAGCAAUGUUUGCUGCUGACUGUCUGCAUCUGUAUAAAAGCCCAUGAAAAGUCGCUUUCAACUUGCACAUUUAAAAGACAAGCCCCAUCACCAUGACUUGUCCUCUCACUGAUGUACAUAAUGCACAAAAGUGUUCAAAUUGUCCAUGUUUUGCAACUUUUCAAAUGUGUUGUUGUUGUUAUGAAUAAAGAUGAUGCAUACCCUGUAAUGAAAGCUAAA
rnacentral:lncRNA from 1 species